rnacentral:rRNA from 1 species
GGCCGGCUUAACUUGCAGGUCGAACGGAGCGCCAGACACGGACUAUUUCGGUAGGAAGCGUGCGGAGGCUUAGUGGCGGACUGGUGAGUAACGCGUGGAUAACCUGCCGCAUACCGGGGGAUAACAGCUGGAAACAGCUGCUAAUACCGCAUAUGCCCGCAGUGCUGCAUGGCACAGCGGGGAAAACUCCGGUGGUAUGCGAUGGGUCCGCGUCUGAUUAGGCAGUUGGCGGGGUAACGGCCCACCAAACCGACGAUCAGUAGCCGGCCUGAGAGGGCGGACGGCCACACUGGGACUGAGACACGGCCCAGACUCCUGCGGGAGGCAGCAGUGGGGAAUAUUGCACAAUGGGGGAAACCCUGAUGCAGCGACGCCGCGUGAAGGAAGAAGUAUCUCGGUAUGUAAACUUCUAUCAACAGGGAAGAAAACAGACGGUACCUGACUAAGAAGCCCCGGCUAACUACGUGCCAGCAGCCGCGGUAAUACGUAGGGGGCAAGCGUUAUCCGGAUUUACUGGGUGUAAAGGGGGCGCAGACGGCCAUGGCAAGCCCGGUGUGAAAGGCAGGGGCAUAACCCCUGGACUGCACUGGGAACUGUCAGGCUGGAGUGCCGGAGGGGUAAGCGGAAUUCCUGGUGUAGCGGUGAAAUGCGUAGAUAUCAGGAGGAACACCGGCGGCGAAUGCGGCUUACUGGACGGCAACUGACGUUGAGGCCCGAAAGCGUGGGGAGCGAACAGGAUUAGAUACCCUGGUAGUCCACGCCGUAAACGAUGUAUACCAUGUGUCGGAUAUCAAGGAUAUCCGGUGCCGAAGCAAACGCAUUAAGUAUACCACCUGGGGAGUACGUUCGC